rnacentral:rRNA from 1 species
AGACGAACCGUGCAAACGUUGUUCGGAAUCACUGGGCUUAAAGGGUGCGUAGGCGGCCUAGCAAGUCGGGUGUGAAAUCCCUCGGCUCAACCGAGGAACUGCGCCCGAAACUGCUUGGCUCGAGGGAGAUAGGGGCGCGUGGAACUUCGGGUGGAGCGGUGAAAUGCGUUGAGAUCCGAAGGAACGCCGGUGGCGAAAGCGACGCGCUGGGUCUCUUCUGACGCUGAGGCACGAAAGCUAGGGGAGCGAACGGGAUUAGAUACCCUGGUAGUCC